GCUGUGGCUCAGUGGUAAAGCAUCUGCUUGGCAUGCAGAGGAUCCCAGGUUCAAUCGCCGUUAAAAGAAGCA
rnacentral:tRNA from 1 species